UAUAUGUAUGUAUAUAUAUAUAUAUUAUAUUGUUUUUAAUUUAUUUUACUUACUGAAUUGUAAUUUUUCCAAGUGAUGAUGUGCCCAGGUAUUUUGUCCGUUUUAGCGCACCUCUGGGGAUAACUGUGUCCUCGACCUAUUGCUAAGUGCGGACACACACCCACACUCUGAGCACUCUAGAGUGUAUAACUAAUUACCAGCUAGGGUAGAACGAGAGAGAUAAAGAGUGUGUGAGAGAGGGCCAGUCUGGGACGCCUGAUCACAGUCAUUUAGAGGAGAGUGGGGUAUGGCAGCGGCUGGCCUCCUCUGCUCCUGUAACCCUCUCAUCUCCUGUCUCUGCGCUUCCUCUCCCACCUCCCCCAAUGACCCUCCUCCUCAUCCCUCCCUGUGCUUCACAGAUGAGUUUAAGGGCACCAGCACCGUGGAGCUGAUCAAGAAGGAAGGCACAACCUUGGGCCUGACAGUAUCUGGAGGCAUUGACAAAGACGGCAAGCCCCGCGUCUCCAACCUGCGCCAGGGCGGCAUCGCUGCCAGGAGUGACCAGUUGAACGUAGGGGACUAUAUAAAGUCUGUGAAUGGAAUCAACUUGACAAAGUUUCGUCAUGAUGAGAUUAUUAGUCUGCUGAAGAAUGUGGGGGAGAGGGUCGUCCUGGAGGUCGAGUACGAGCUACCGCCUGUCUCUGUACAGGGCUCAGGGGUCAUGUUCAAAAACGUGGAGGUGACGCUGCACAAAGAAGGCAAUACAUUCGGUUUCGUCAUCAGAGGAGGCGCCCAUGAAGACAGAAACAAAUCUCGCCCGGUUACCAUAACAACCAUCAGACCUGGUGGUCCGGCUGACAGGGAAGGCACCAUCAAACCUGGCGACAGGCUGCUCAGUAUUGACGGAAUUCGUCUGCAUGGAGCGUCUCACGCAGAGGCCAUGAGCAUCCUCAAACAAUGCGGCCAGGAAGCAACUCUUCUCAUAGAGUAUGAUGUGUCAGUCAUGGAUUCUGUAGCCACAGCUUCAGGCCCGCUGUUGGUGGAGGUGGCUAAGUCCAUGGGUUCCAGUUUAGGUCUGGCUCUCUCUACCUCCAUGUACUGCAAUAAGCAGGUCAUCAUCAUCGACAAGGUCAAACCAGCCAGCAUCGCCGAUAGGUGUGGUGCACUGCAUGCAGGUGAUCACAUCCUCUCGGUGGAUGGCACAAGUAUGGAGUAUUGCACACUGGCUGAGGCCACCCAGCUGCUAGCUAGCGCUUCUGAACACGUCAAAAUGGAGAUUCUGCCUCACCACCAGACAAGACUGGCCCUCAAGGGCCCUGAACAUGUCAAGGUGCAGAGGAGUAACCGGCCAUUGCCCUGGGAAUCCGGAACCAACAACAACAGCAACUUCCUUCCCUAUCAACACUAUAACACCUACCACCCUGACCAGUCCCGCAGCCAGACCAAGCAAAAAACCUCUCCAAACAACCCCCCUCUGGGUUCAUCCUUCUCUCCCACCUCCAUGAGUGCCUACAGUCUGAGUUCACUCAACAUGAACACGCUGCCACGCACCAUGUAUCCCACAAGUCCCCGUGGCACCAUGAUGAGACGCAAACUGAAGAAGAAAGACUACAAGAGCUCAAUGUCCCUGGCUUCCAGUACGGUAGGACUUGCUGGUCAGGUGGUCCACACAGAAACAACAGAGGUGACCCUCAUCAGUGACUCCAUCAUGGGCUUUGGGAUCCAGCUUCAGGGAGGAGUCUUUGCCACGGAAACCCUGUCCUCUCCGCCGCUCAUCGCUUACAUAGACCCCGACAGCCCGGCGGAGCGGUGCGGCAUCCUGCAGAUUGGCGACCGCAUCCUGUCAAUAAAUGGCAUCCCCACUGAGGACAGCACGCUGGAGGAGACCAAUCAGCUGCUGAGGGACUCCAGCAUCACCAGCAAAGUCACACUAGAGAUUGAGUUUGACGUAGCAGAAUCGGUUAUCCCAAGCAGUGGAACCUUCCAUGUGAAGCUACCAAAGAAGCCAGGUGUGGAGCUGGGCAUCACCAUCAGCUCCCCUUCUAGUAGGAAGCCUGGAGAUGCACUCAUCAUCUCUGACAUAAAGAAAGGCAGCGUGGCGCACAGGACGGGCACCCUGGAGCUGGGGGAUAAGCUUCUGGCAAUAGACAACAUCCGUCUGGAUAACUGCUCCAUGGAGGACGCCGUUCAAAUCCUGCAGCAGUGCGAAGACCUGGUUAAACUCAAGAUCCGCAAGGACGAGGACAACUCAGGUACCUCUGAGCCUCUGCAACUACAAACCCCACGCGGACACAAAUUAACACUAAAAGCCCCCAUCAACAGUCUGAAGGGCAAACCUCUCAGUGAGGCCAUCCACCUGCUGCAGAUGGCAGGGGAGUCCGUCACACUGAAGAUCAAGAAGCAGGGAGAAUGUGAGUUGGCAAGCCCAAAGCAGCCCUCAGUAACGGGCCGUUUAAACGAUCUGAGCGAUAUGGAGGAUGACGGUCAGGCUGGGCAGAAACUCGGUAAACUCUCAGACAUCUAUUCCACCACUAUUCCCAGUGUGGACAGCGCAGUGGAAUCCUGGGAUGGCUCCGCCAUUGACGCCACAUUCAGCACCCAAGGUAAAUUUGAGUCUCCCACAGGUUUCCAGGCAUCGGGCUACAGUUUCCACAGCCAUGAGUGGAGGAAUGCCAAGCCCGGCCGGGGCAGCCUCUCCCCAGUGAACAGCAGUCGGCAGAGGAACAACAUCCUGCCGGACUUUGGACUCGGUGUGGAUGAAUGGGACAGGCCAAGCGCUAGCGGGUUCACUGUGGGGCACGACGGGACUGAGCCAGACCAGGAAGAGAACUUCUGGUCCCAAGCGCUCGAAGACCUGGAAACGUGCGGCCAAUCCGGGAUCCUGCGAGAACUUGAGGACAAGCCAGACAGGCUUCUGAAUAAGAGAAACCUGGCCAUCUUGGCCACCAUCAUGUCGGGCAGCUCUUUGAGUUUAAACCACGAUCCUGCACCCACCCGAAGCCAUCUGGGCCGCCAGGCCAGCUUUCAGGAACGUGGCAGCAACAAACCACAAUACACACAGGCCAACCGCAGCAACACGCUGCCCACCGAUGUCGGCAGAAAAGCUUUCUCCAUGAGGAGAAUGAAGCAGGAGAUCAAAGACAUCAUGUCGCCCACCCCGGUUGAACUUCACAAGGUGAGCCUUUUGAAGGACUCGGACCUUGAGGACUUUGGGUUUAGCGUGUCUGACGGAGUCUUGGAGAAGGGGGUUUAUGUAAACAAUAUCCGUCCAGGCGGCCCUGCUGAAAUCGGAGGACUCAAGCCAUACGAUAGACUGCUACAGAUAAACCACGUCCGGACUAGAGACUUUGACUGCUGCUUAGUGGUUCCUCUUAUAGCAGAGUCCGGGAACAAACUGGAUCUAGUCAUAAGCCGAAACCCGGUUUCCUCGCAGCCCUCAGAACUAAACCCGUUGUCCAAUGACGAGACAGCAAACUGGACUGACCCCGGGGACCCUGUCGUGCAGCCCACCGCAGGGCUGGAGCAGGGCCAGCACAACUCCACGCUAGCGGGACUAGAGGACAGAGACCCCAACAAGACUUUAUAGCAGAACUCCUCCCAGGUGCCUGCAGUGGAGCGCUCCUCCACAUGGUGCUAAAGAGAACCCUCCCCUCCCUAAAACGGCUCCCUCUAGUGGAGGACAACGAGAGGGGCUUGUUGUCCUAUAGCACACACCCAGUCCCUUUCCUAAGUCAGAGCAUGAACAACCAUGACUAAGAGGUCCUUUCCUGACAAGCUGGGUGUGUUUUUACCCUGUGAAAAUGGCGGCGAAGACCACACUGACCUCUUGGAAAACCAAAUUGUGGGGGGGAAAAAAAACCUGAAACAGUGCCAUCCCUGAUUUUUAUUGCCAAUAAAUGAGAAUAGUUUUAAGGAGGAGUCA
ensembl:lncRNA